UCUAAAAUGUAAAUUUUAUUAAGUAUUAUUAGUGAUUGAAACUUAAAGGGUUUGGCGGCGUUAAUAGUCAGUUUAGAGGAGUCUGUAUAGUAAUCGAUAAUCCACGGAAAAUCUUACUAGAAUUAGUAUUAAUAAUUUGUAUAUCGUUGUCGAAUAAUUGAAUCGGAAGGUUUCUUUUUUGAUUUUAAUGGAAAAAAUGAUAAAUCAAGGUGCAGUUUAUUUUCUAGAAUUGAUAUGGACUACAUUUUCUUUAGAAUCGGAUAUAGAAUUGUAAGAUUUUAUUGAAGUUGGAUUUAAUUGUAAUAUUUUUAUAAUAUGGAAAUAUGAAUAUGCUCUGAGGCGUGC
rnacentral:rRNA from 1 species